rnacentral:lncRNA from 1 species
UUAUUUGGUCUGAGAGUGCAUACGAAUAUAGCAUAUAAUUUGUAUUGGCCACUAUACUGGGAUAACAAUACAACAGCUCCCAACUGUAACAGAAGUACCUAUAUUAUUUUUGGGAACUAAGGGAAAGCAUCUAACUUACCGCCAAAUAGUGGUUGAAAUAUUCAUCAUUUGGUACUAAAAACACCUUGUUGAUGAUAUAGUCAUACAUAAUAAUCAUAUCUGACUAUCAGAACUUGAAGAUCAACUUUUAUUUCAGAAGGAAAAAAGACAACAAUCUAUAAAUAUAAAUCAAUAAGUAACCAUUAAAAAGGAAAAUAAAUAAUUCUGCUCAGUUUCAAAGCCAACAUGGUAUUACAUAAGAAACCAUAUACAUACCGUCAUACCCUACCUGCAGUAUGCGUACUACAAGCCAUGUAGACUAAGUUAAGAUGUACAAUUGUAAAAGCCAUGUAUAUAUAGUUCGUGAUAUUGAACUUGAAUUACAAUCGCUUAUAUGUUGUGUUAAAUUAAUUGGUGCAUUUUAUUGUUGUUUAAAGCAUAUCAAUUUGCAUAAUAUAGAGAGGCUCGAUUAUUACCCCUGCCGGAAAUGUUAUUGGACGAAAACGACAUCAGAAAGGCAGGAAGGCACAUGAAUGAAUCAGCAUUCGUGCGCGUACUUUGCUGAAACUAGGCACCUCUAGAAAGCGAUGAAUUGCCAUCAGUCACCAAAGAGCUAACACCAUGCUUCGGCUAGAGGAAUUUGUAGUACUGACUGGAAAGCUACCAUUCAUGUCCCUGGGACCAAGUCCAAGGUUGGAGGGCGCCGGACAUGGAGGUCAGCAGUGUUGAACUGAACCACCACCUUGAAGACUGUUUCUUAAUAGGAUAGAACAUCACUGGAAUAUAGCAAGGAUCUUCCGAUAUUUUUGCUAGAAGCUACAAAGUGUAAUUAUCAUUAAGACUUUGACGUAAUGCAAGCGAAUCAAGAAAAUAGUCACCACAAAAUUUCUUGACCAAUGAGCUUAUGAACCAACAGUCCCAGGACGCCUAAUUCUAAGUUACUAACUUCUAAGUCUCAAAAAUCAAGAGGACUCGUUUCAGGACAUCAGAGAUAAAAAUAACCAUCAUCGAAAAGCAAGUGUCAAUCCAAUCUAGAGAUAACACAAAUAGAGAGGAAACGGGGCAAGAGAAGUAGACAGGGACAAGAUAUUUCAUUUGAAUUACAUACUAGCACAUGGAUACAGCCAAGGCAAAGAACAUGCAGACUUGGUGGGAAGGUUUGAGCCUCUUCAUGGCCUUACCUUGGAUUCACCGUUGGACGCAGGGGAGCGGUGUCGAGGGGCGGCGCGCCGGGAUCCAGUGCCGCAGGGGAGUGGUGAUGAGGGAUUGCACGCCGGGAUGGAGGGUCGCAGGGGAGUGGUGAGGGGCCGCGCGCCGGCAUGUAGGUCGCUGCCACGCAAAGGAGUCGCAAUGCGUGAUGAG